GUGCUUGCUUUGGCAGCACAUACACUAAAAUUGGAAUGAUACAGAGAAGAUUAGCAUGGCCCCUGUGCAAGGAUGACACACAAAUACGUGAAACGUUAUUCCAUAUUUUU